UACGUAGGGAGCGAGCGUUGUCCGAAGUUACUGGGCGUAAAGCGCGCGUAGGCGGGUUAGUAAGUCGGAGGUGAAAGGCUUGGGCUUAACCGAAGCAGUGCCUCCGAUACUGCUAGUCUUGAGGGCGGUAGGGAGAAGUGGAAUGGCUGGUGUAGCGGUGAAAUGCGUAGAUAUCAGUCGGAACACCGGUGGCGAAGGCGGCUUCUUGGGCCGUUCCUGACGCUGAGGCGCGAAAGCCAGGGGAGCAAACGGGG
rnacentral:rRNA from 1 species